rnacentral:rRNA from 1 species
CACGUAGGUGGCAAGCGUUGUCCGGAAUUACUGGGUGUAAAGGGAGCGCAGGCGGGAAGCCAAGUCAGCUGUGAGAACUACGGGCUUAACUUGUAGACUGCAGUUGAAACUGGUUUUCUUGAGUGAAGUAGAGGUUGGCGGAAUUCCGAGUGUAGCGGUGAAAUGCGUAGAUAUUCGGAGGAACACCGGUGGCGAAGGCGGCCAACUGGGCUUUAACUGACGCUGAGGCUCGAAAGUGUGAGGAGCAAACAGG